rnacentral:rRNA from 1 species
UACGAAGGGGACUAGCGUUGUUCGGAAUCACUGGGCGUAAAGCGCACGUAGGCGGAUGUGUCAGUCAGGGGUGAAAUCCCGGGGCUCAACCUCGGAACUGCCUUUGAUACAGCACGUCUCGAGUCCGGAAGAGGUGGGUGGAAUUCCUAGUGUAGAGGUGAAAUGCGCAGAUAUCAGGAGGAACACCGGUGGCGAAGGCGGGUCUCUGGGCCGAUACUGACGCUGGAGGAGCGAAAGCGUGGGGAGCAAACAGG